UACGUAGGUGGCAAGCGUUGUCCGGAUUUACUGGGCGUAAAGAGCGCGCAGGCGGUCGUUCAAGUCGAGUGUGAAAGCCCCCGGCUCAACUGGGGAGGGUCACUCGAUACUGAUCGACUCGAAGGCAGAAGAGGGAAGCGGAAUUCCCGGUGUAGUGGUGAAAUUCGUAGAUAUCGGGAGGAACACCGAUGGCGAAGGCAGGUCUCUGGGCUGACACUGACGCUCAUGCACGAAAGCGUGGGGAGCAAACAGG
rnacentral:rRNA from 1 species